CCCCUUCAAACCACCCACCCACCCCCCUAAUCUCAUUAAUGGGUACUCCAGUUUUCUGGCUUUGUGUUAGUAUAGUUUUACUUUGGAUAAUAGUAUUGAAUGAUAACUUGUGUUUGAAUUGUUGAUGGGGUUUUUUGUUUAAUUAAUUGGAUUAGGCUGAUGUUAAUUGGAUCUCAAUCUGUUGAAAAAGUUGCAAUUUUUGUGAACUUUUGACUGUGUACUCUUCUAUAGUAGAACUGUAUAUAUGGUACAAUGAAUAUGUGUUUGCUUUACUGGUUUUUCCUUUCUGUUAGAUAUUAAACUGUGUCACAAAUAGAAUGUUGAGGCUCUAUUUGCUGUCUAUGCCCCUAAUCUCCUUAAUGGGUCUCCACUUUUAUGCUUUUCUUGAGUUCUUGUUUUACAUAUAUGUUUCUUUAUUUGUAGUGUUAGUUUAGUUUUUCUUUGGAUAAUAUUAUUGAAUGAUAGCUUGUGUUGCUGGGGUUUCGAUGAAUUUCUUUAAUUAAUUGGAUUAGGUUGUGUUUCCUGGAUCUUAGUCUGUUGAAUAAUCAUGAGAUUAUGAUAACUUAUUGUCUAAUUGUUGAAAUUUACCUGAUAGCCCGAGAAAGAGCAGUAAAAAGGGCACGAAGCCUGAUAAGAUCCUCUAUACUUGUCCGCAAAAGCAAAGAGCUGUGCUCAGAAAAAGGAAAGGAGAAUUAGAUAAUUCUCCCUAAAAUGGCUUAUCUGGAUUAAAAAUGUUUUUCUUGAAAACUAUUUUUGGCAUUUGAUUAAAAAGAUAAAAAAUAUUAUCAGAAAAUAUUACUUAUUAAAUAUUGAUCACUGGAUCAGCAAAAUCUGAGGGUGUUUUGAUGAGAAUCUUGAGUAUUAAAGAUUGAAAAUAAUGUCUACCAAAUUACAUAGAGAAUCUGGCUCCGCCGCCAGCCAGCCAGAUCCGGCUUCGUCACCACCACCAUCUAUUCCAGGUAUGUUUUUUAAUUGCUUGGGUUCUAGUUUAGGGUUCUUCAAGACACAUUUAGUUUUUUGCUUCUUUGGUAAGUUUCUCACUGAUUUGGUUUUAUGGGUUAGUGUAUUUGGUUGAUCCGGCUUCGUCGCCACCACCACCCCUUGCUCUCAUGCUUGCAUAGAUGAGCUAUUUGUCAAUCCAUUUUGCCUUCCCCACCAUUGAAGAAACUUUCUGAAAAUUUGGUAGAAAAGAAGUUAAGAUUUCUUCAUCACCACAAUGGCUCUACACAUUCUAUGAUGUUGAGUUUUUGUGGCUAGUUGAUUCCAUUAACCAUUUAGUUCAAUCCCAUUCGAGAUGGAAAUCUGUUGUUAAUUAAAUCUGUUUGUAAUCUGCCUAUUUUCCUGGUAAUGUAUUCAAAUCCCUCUUUCCGAGUAGGGGAAUAGAACAUAAUAUUGUGUCUGCAAAUCUGCCUAUUUUCCUGGCAUAAUUUGAUGUAUAACACUCAAGUAUGACUGAUGGAGAAAGAGUGAUGUGUUACCUUAGCAUCUGUCUCCAUUUGGACAGGUUUGUCUCCAGACUCCGGAACACCAUUGUCAGCCCCUGAAGCAGCUGCACCAUCCUGCAUAUUUACAUCAGUUUCUGAUGUAGUUGAAGGAGCAGCUGAAGCUUCAUCUGUUUCCAUUUUGGCAGGUUCCUUAGCUGUCUCUUUCACAAAUGGACUUCCACCUCUUCUUCUUCCAAAGGCUAAAUUACAGACCAAAACCAUCAAGAAAAGCUGCAUUUGCCUCUAAGAAGCAACCAAGUCAGUGGGAAUCAAGUGGAAUACAAUCUGUAUGUAGUUGAGGGAGUCAUUGAUGAACCAAUAUAUGAUGCAAAACUCCUCUCCUACCGUCAAGAAUGGCAUAGUUCACUAUGCCCCUAUAUAGAAGGACUUUAACUUGACUAGCGUUUUUUUGGUUGCGGAGCCUCCCAAAUAAUGUUGAAAAGAAGGAAAUGGAUUUUUAGCAAACUAAAAGGAAAAAUGUGUGGCACCCGGAACAUGAGACACAGCUAGCUCAAAACUUCAAGAAGAAAGCUCAGCGCUUACUAUGUUUGAAUGUUAAUGUUGUGGUGGAUUUGUGGAUUGUGUAAGUGUUUUGUGAAUGUUUGCGAGCGGUGAAGUAGUCUAAUGUUGUAGACUAACUUAGUCUAAUGUUGUAGACUAAUUUAGUGCAGAUCUACUAGUUUAAUGUUUUGUGAAUGUUUGCAAAGGUUGUGAAGUAGUUUAAUGUUGUGUAGAUGUUUGCGAAUGUUGAAGUAGCAUAAUGUCUCUUCGGAAUGUUUGAAUGACGUUUUGAUUCAACUUUGAAGUAGUUUCGAAUUGAAUUUGA